rnacentral:rRNA from 1 species
ACUCAAAGGAAUUGACGGGGGCCCGCACAAGCGGUGGAGGAUGUGGUUUAAUUCGACGCAACGCGAAGAACCUUACCAAGGCUUGACAUCCACUGAAUCUAGUAGAAAUAUUGGAGUGCCCGCAAGGGAGCAGUGAGACAGGUGGUGCAUGGCUGUCGUCAGCUCGUGUCGUGAGAUGUUGGGUUAAGUCCCGCAACGAGCGCAACCCUCGAUGCUAGUUACCAUCAUUUAGUUGGGGACUCUAGCGUGACUGCCGGAGCUAAUCCGGAGGAAGGUGAGGACGACGUCAAGUCAUCAUGCCCCUUACGUCUUGGGCUACACACGUCCUACAAUGGUAUAGACAAAGAGCUGCAAGCUAGUGAUGGCAAGCGAAUCUCAUAAACUAUAUCUCAGUUCGGAUUGUAGGCUGCAACUCGCCUACAUGAAGUUGGAAUCGCUAGUAACCGUAGAUCAGCAUGCUACGGUGAAUACGUUCCCGGGCCUUGCACACACCGCCCGU